rnacentral:rRNA from 1 species
UAAACCGUGGCUCAGUUCAGAUCGUAGGCUGCAACUCGCCUACGUGAAGGAGGAAUCGCUAGUAAUCGCAGGUCAGCAUACUGCGGUGAAUACGUUCCCGGGCCUUGUACACACCGCCCGUCACACCAUGGAAGUUGGCCACGCCCGAAGCCGUUACUCCAACCCUUGUGGGGGAGGACGUCGAAGGUGGGGCUGAUGACUGGGGUGAAGUCGUAACAAGGUAGCCGUACCGGAAGGUGCGGCUGGAUCACCUCCUAACA